rnacentral:rRNA from 1 species
GAUGAACGCUAGCGGCAGGCUUAACACAUGCAAGUCGAACGGUAACAGGAAAAGCUUGCUUUUCGCUGACGAGUGGCGCACGGGUGCGUAACGCGUAUGCAACCUACCUUUUAACAGGAAGAUAGCCCCGAGAAAUCGGGAUUAAUACUCCAUAGUAUCAUAAUGUCGCAUGGCAUAAUGAUUAAAGUUUCGGCGGUUAAAGAUGGGCAUGCGUUCCAUUAGCUAGAUGGUAAGGUAACGGCUUACCAUGGCAACGAUGGAUAGGGGGUCUGAGAGGAUUAUCCCCCACACUGGUACUGAGACACGGACCAGACUCCUACGGGAGGCAGCAGUGAGGAAUAUUGGUCAAUGGAGGAAACUCUGAACCAGCCAUGCCGCGUGCAGGAUGACGGCCCUACGGGUUGUAAACUGCUUUUAUAUAGGAAGAAACCUCUUUACGUGUAGAGAGCUGACGGUACUAUAUGAAUAAGGAUCGGCUAACUCCGUG